UGCGGCUCAUCCUUCUCUGAGGGAGCAAGUCCCUUAUCGGGUGAACGUGGAGAAGACACCGGUGGAGGUGGGGGCACCGGGGAAGGCAGGCCUGGAGCUGGCACCGGCAGAGGAAUCGCUGGAGUGGCAUUCGUGGAGGCAAAACGGUGGGCUGGUCCGGAUGUCGACAGCGGGCCUAGAAUACUCGUCGACAAGAUGUCCUACACCGAACUCCGGUGUACUUGUUAACCACCUGCUGUCUCUGUUCUGAACACUGAACUUGACCAGUCUUCCAACAGGCAGACCAAUAACAGGCUAAAUUGCAAUGGAGUUCAACGCUAUUUGACAUCCCGAACACGCCAAAACGUCUGUUUUCCCAACGCAGGUUACUCAAGAGGAAGAAUGAGAACCUCCCGUUACCCACACAAAAUUGUGCAAAUGACGAUUUAUUUAUUAUUGUAUAUGUUGGAAAUUUUGUUCUUUGGGGUAAGCAAGGGGUGGGGCUAUUAUUGUCUGAAAUAUGUUGAAUUUCACAUCACUUU